rnacentral:lncRNA from 1 species
AUUUAUAACACACUCACCAGAGCACAGCCACGUAAAGAAUCAUCCUUCAGUGGUUUUGAUCUGGUCCUGAGAAUAUCCCUGGGUGGUGAAUGAGCUUCAAGUAGGCCUCCAAGGAGCACUCUGCAGCUGUGAAGCUGGAAUAACUGAAAUGCUUCACAUGGAGCAAGACUCCAAUUCAAGUGUACAGCUUUGCAGCUUUUGUCCAAGAGCAGCAGAACGUAGAACUUUUUGUCCAGUGGAAAAAGUGCUUGAAUGAUCUCCACCUCACACCAGGGCUUCCUCACCUGCAGACCCAGGAUUUGUUAAGGAGGGAGCUCUCAGUCAGAGCAGGAGCAAAGAAACACGAAAGGCUGCUUUCUUCUAACAUAAAACAAAGCACAUCAUUAAAAUAAACAGACUAACAGGAACUGUAAGGUCUUUCUGGUGUUGUUUUCAGAACUGUGAAGGGAUUUUGGAAUCUCUAAGAUCUAAUCUGGGUUUCAGUAAGGCAUUA